rnacentral:rRNA from 1 species
GAGUUUGAUCUUGGCUCAGAUUGAACGCUGGCGGCAUGCCUUACACAUGCAAGUCGAACGGCAGCAUGAUCUAGCUUGCUAGAUUGAUGGCGAGUGGCGAACGGGUGAGUAAUACAUCGGAACGUGCCCUGUAGUGGGGAUAACUAGUCGAAAGAUUAGCUAAUACCGCAUACGACCUGAGGGUGAAAGUGGGGGACCGCAAGGCCUCAUGCUAUAGGAGCGGCCGAUGUCUGAUUAGCUAGUUGGUGGGGUAAAGGCCCACCAAGGCGACGAUCAGUAGCUGGUCUGAGAGGACGAUCAGCCACACUGGGACUGAGACACGGCCCAGACUCCUACGGGAGGCAGCAGUGGGGAAUUUUGGACAAUGGGCGAAAGCCUGAUCCAGCAAUGCCGCGUGUGUGAAGAAGGCCUUGGGUUGUAAAGCACUUUUGUCCGGAAAGAAAUGGCUCUGGUUAAUACCUGGGGUCGAUGACGGUACCGGAAGAAUAAGGACCGGCUAACUACGUGCCG